UGGGGAAUAUUGCACAAUGGGCGCAAGCCUGAUGCAGCCAUGCCGCGUGUAUGAAGAAGGCCUUCGGGUUGUAAAGUACUUUCAGCGGGGAGGAAGGCGAUAAGGUUAAUAACCUUGUCGAUUGACGUUACCCGCAGAAGAAGCACCGGCUAACUCCGUGCCAGCAGCCGCGGUAAUACGGAGGGUGCAAGCGUGAAUCGGAAUUACUGGGCGUAAAGCGCACGCAGGCGGUCUGUCAAGUCGGAUGUGAAAUCCCGGGCUCAACCUGGGAACUGCAUUCGAAACUGGCAGGCUAGAGUCUUGUAGAGGGGGGUAGAAUUCCAGGUGUAGCGGUGAAAUGCGUAGAGAUCUGGAGGAAUACCGGUGGCGAAGGCGGCCCCCUGGACAAAGACUGACGCUCAGGUGCGAAAGCGUGGGGAGCAAACA
rnacentral:rRNA from 1 species